rnacentral:misc_RNA from 1 species
UUUUCAAGACACCGUUUUUACACACACUUAGAAUACGUUUUUACGCAACUUUUGAUAUAUAGCACGUUAAUAUUUAAUGCAUAUAAUCCACUUUUCUACAAACUUAUUAUUUUGCGUUUUUUUUUUUUUUUUUUUUUUUUUUUUUUUUUUUUUUUUUUUUUUUUUUUUUUUUUUUUUGCACGUUUUUUUUUUUUUUUUUUUUUUUUUUUUUUUUUUUUUUUUUUUUUUUUUUUUUUUUUUUUUUUUUUUUUUUUUUUUUUACUAGACCCCCACA